rnacentral:snoRNA from 1 species
AACAUCAGUAGUGGUUAAUACUAUCUCGUAUUAAUUACAUUAUUUUUUAUAGAAACCUAUGACCCUUCCAUUUUUAUCCUUCCGCCUCAGUACUGUCAAUGGGCUUGCCCUGUUGGCAGCUGUGGGCUAGUUAAUACUGGGAUUCGAGUGGUCGGUUCCGACAAUAACCCAUAGCUGAACGGAUUUUGACCACCUCCAAACAAGGUCGGCCACAAUAUCAGUUUCGUUUCCGGUUUCUUAGAUUAUAUUCUUCUAUGAGGGGACUGCUUGCUGUUGGUGAGCAGAGUUGUUCGACUCCAGAGGGCUGCAUAACGCGGCCUGAGAGUUUGGAUUCGUGCCUUUCCUCAUGGUAGUACAUUC